GGGACUUUCCUCUAGGCUGAAGGGUGCUGGCGCAGGCGCUAAGAUGUUUAUAAUAAUUUAAGCUUAACGCUCGGAAAAUACUUUCUAAGGAGCAAGGAAAUGCUUUUUCUGGUUUGUUUCUCACAUCUUAGAAUCAUACUCAUCCAGUUAGGGUUACGGUUAGAGGUAGAGUUAGGGUUAGGGUUAGUUGUUCUUUAAAAACGUUAGUCUUUUUAAGUAAAAUGUGAGUCUUUAAAAGAUGCUUUCAGUGACACCGUGGGCUUCAGGGGAGAGGGUCAGUCUGAGUCUGUCACCACGGGCUCGAGACACACACCCCCGCCCCCCGCCAUGGCUAUGGUGGAAUUGUGGGUGAACCUGGGCGUCUUCAAAUGUUCUUUUAGUGCGAGGCACUUCAGGGUGGCAUGGGCAGCGACUUUCCACAGGCCUGGGGGGCGUUUUCUGAAAGCACCUGCUGUGUGGCCCCAGCAAUGUCCCCGAUGGAGAGAGACACAGGCGAGCACACAGCAGGGACCCCUGGGUGACAGCAGGCAGCUCCAAGGUUCCUUGUCAGCUCCGGAGGCCGCGGCCCUCUAGCCAUCACCAUCAGACCUUGCUGUAUGAGGAGCGCCUGGCUCAGCUGCUUUCUUAAACUCACUUUCAACCAAGCAAUGAAUAACUGAGGACCCAUCGGGAGCCAGCGGGGUGCCGGCCUCUGGCUUGAGGCAGAUUGUAUCUGUUCACAUCUGCCCUUGUCUAUCUGGUGCGACACCCAGCAGGGAAGGGAGGAGGGGAGGGACACGGUCUGGACGCUCCCUGCUCGCUGGCAGGUCAUGGUGUGGCAAGGCUGUAGGAAGAGCGGCCUGCUUCCCACAGCUGCACCGCCCAGGCCUUCCUCUCCUUCGCGUCUGCCCAUAAGAACUUAUCACCAUUGCAGCCCCAUCAGAAAGACUGUGUUUGAGGUGAAGGAAGGUUUAAUACCUUUAAAAAAUCCAUUUUACAAGAUGAGAUGGAUCCAGAUGUGGACCACGGCUCACCACAGGAUGACUCCCGCCAGCAUUCCCUGCAGACUCUCAAAGGGCAUCCAUGCAGUGGCGCGUGUGACACUCCACGCAGCAAGGCUCUGCCGCAGGGCCUGGUGUGGACUAAACAGAGUCGGUUAGAAAAGUGUUCUGAUGCAGUCACAGCUUUCAAGGCCUCAGCUUGCAUAAUUACAAGGGGCAGGAGCUGAAAUUUCAUCUGUGCGACAUCAGCUCAAAAGGAGCCGAGACUGGAAGAAACCGGGAGCUAUGAUUUGCACUUUGAUAACUUAAGUGAAAUAAAUCGAUGAUUCCAAAUGGAAAAAAA
rnacentral:lncRNA from 1 species